rnacentral:rRNA from 1 species
AUUGAACGCUGGCGGCAGGCCUAACACAUGCAAGUCGAACGAGUGGCGGAGGGAGGAGUAAUGACUGGGAAACUGCCUGAUGGAGGGGGAUAACUACUGGAAACGGUAGCUAAUAACGCAUACCAUCAGAUGUGCCCAGAUGGGGUUAGCUUGUUGGUGGGGUAACGGCUCACCAAGGAGACGAGCCCUAGCUGGUCUGCGGGGAUGACCAGCCACACUGGAACUGGUACACGGUCCAGACUCCUACGGUGGGCAGCAGUGGGGAAUAUUGCACAAUGGGCGCAAGCCUGAUGCAGCCAUGCCGCGUGUAUGAAGAAGGCCUUCGGGUUGUAAAGUACUUUCAGCGGUGAGGCGUUACCCGCAGAAGAAGCACCGGCUAACUCCGUGCCAGCCGCCGCGGUAAUUC